UACGGGGGGGGCAAGCGUUGUCGGAAUUACUGGGCGUAAAGGGCUCGUAGGCGGCCAACUAAGUCGGAUGUGAAAUCCCCAGGCUUAACCUGGGAACUGCAUCCGAUACUGGAUGGCUUGAAUCCGGGAGAGGGAUGCGGAAUUCCAGGUGUAGCGGUGGAAAUGCGUAGAUAUCUGGAGGAACACCGGUGGCGAAGGCGG
rnacentral:rRNA from 1 species